GGGUGGAAGACGGUGCCAGCCGCCCGGUAACACGGCACCUCAAGUGUAGCCACUAUUAUGGGCCUAAAGCGUUCGUAGCCGGCUUGUUAAUUCCUGGGUAAAUCGUACCGCUCAACGGUGCGGAUUCCGGGGACACUGCCAGGCUUGAGACCGGGGAGAUCAGAGGUACUUGCGGGGGAGCGGUGAAAUGUUGUAAUCCCGCAGGGACCACCAAUGGCGAAGGCAUCUGAUCAAAACGGCUCUGACGGUGAGGGACGAAACCCUGGGGCGCAAACGGGAUUAGAUACCCCGGUAGUCCAGGGCGUAAACGCUGCUGACUUGGUGUUGGGGGCCCUGCGAGGGCGUCCAGUGCCGGCACGAAGGUAUUGAGUCAGCCGCCUGGGGAGUACGGUCGCAAGACUGAAACUAAAGAAUGGCGGG
rnacentral:rRNA from 1 species